UGAGAGCUGUAUCAUCAGCGUAACAGACAACUUGCACACUUGUUAUUACCGAAAAUAUACUAUCCAUAUAGAGAGUGAACAAUAUUGGACCAAGGACCGUGCCCUGUGGCACACCACACCUCACUGGAAUUUUACUACUGUGAAUCUCGCCUAUCUUAACUUGCUGGUAACGAUUUUCAAGAAAUGAUUUUAAUAAAUUUAAUGGUAUUCCUCUUAUACCUUUAGCUUCUAAGCGUUUCAUCAAGAUGUGGUUCGGCACAGUAUCAAAGGCCUUAGCCAGGUCCAGGAAGAUUGUCAUACAUUUUGUAUUGGUGUUAAAAGCAUUUAUUAUAUCGUCAGCUACCCUGACUAAAGCAUCCUCAGUUCCCAUUCCCGUCUUAAAACCAUAUUGAUUUGCAUUAAGGUAAACUCCAGACCCAAAGAUAGUAUUUACCAGAUGUAAAAGAGGCACUAUCAAGUAUCUGUUAUAAUUCUUAAUAAAAUUAUUAGAUAUGC